CAAUCUUUCUGUAGGUAUAACAAUAUGUUAUUCAGUGAUAUGGUGACAGUACUUAUAGAUACUUGAAAUAAUUCUUGAGGGAAAGAAAGUGUAAUAUGCAUUCAUUCUUGGGGCAUAGCCGCAUAGUUCUGUUGACUUGAAAGAUAUGAAUCCUGGUGUUAUGUUGAAACAUUGAAAUUAUGAGAGAUAAUCCUCGAGUAUAUUCUCAAUUUCUUCAUCUUUAUUUCCAUGAACAUCUAUAUAUAUUAUGUAUAUUUCCUCUUGUCUACACAAAAUGGCCGAAAUCUGUUGGAGGAGUUCACUCAUUAUAGUUGUCUUCUCCUCUACAUUGUGUUGAGCAUAUAGCAUUGUUAUUUGGUAAUCUGCAGUAAAUAUAGAAAAGGGAAAGGUAGAGACAGGUGAGAAGCUACACAUGUGGAUGUUUUACUUCCUUUCUUCCAUUUUCUGCACAUGGUUUCUAUUUAGCAGCAUUCAAGUUGUGGCUGUAGGUUUGCCAAUUGCUACACUUCAUUUUCAUGUCAAGGCCAAGAGUUCGACUUGAGAUCUGUCGCUUUAUCUCCUUUAGACUCGACAAAUGGGAAUGUCUCAUUAUGAGGAAAGUUGCACAGAACAGAAUUCCAUUUCCCUUCUGUCCAAGGAAUUGGGUAAGCCACAGGGUGCAGGGUGACUGUGAAUAGUCCCGACGGCCCGUGCCGACCAAAUAACCAGCACGUGAGGCGAAGGACAGCUGUCGGAAUUCUGGGAUUCCAGUGGAAGUUGUCUGUCAGUUUCUGGCAAACAGACUAGUGGCCAUGAUUUUGUCUUCAAAAGCUGCCUGACACGUGUACAGAACCAUCCUCCACACCCAUACAAUAUUUCCAACUAUUUACCCACAUGGAAUUACAAUCCCCCACCUGAAACUCCAUUUCUCCACAAAAUUCAAACCCCACCCCCCAACUGAACUUCUCUUCUUAUAUAUACAAAACCCAAACCCCUUUCCCAUCUGUCCUUCCCAUAUUAAUCUCUUUUCUUUCUUUAUUGGGUUUCCUCCAAUGGCUUCACCAGAUUUGACGCCUAAUUCCGGUUCCUCUUGCCAUAAUGCUGCUGCUCCUAGGUUGAAGAGGAAGAGAAGAGAAGCAAGAGAGGUUCGCCGGAAAGUGCAGAAGCUCCGGUGUGUGGUGCCCGGCGGCCGACAGCUGCAACGGGAACAUCUCUUCGCCAAGACAGCUCAUUACAUCUUGCAUUUGAGAUUGAAAGUUUGUGCGCUUGAGACCAUUCUCAAAUUGCAGGACCAGGCUUGACAAUGAAGUCACAUGACAUGAAUUUUUUCUCUCUUUUUCUCAUCUCCAACUCCAAGGCUUUUCUUUUACAUAAAAAUUUGUUUACUUGAUCUUGUUUCCUGUCGAUCUGGUUGACACUGGACAAAUAUAAGUUAUUCGCCAGUCACAUUGUGGAGUAUUUAGUAUAUAUUUGUGUGGUAGUAAAUAUGUAUACAAGUUGGGAGGAUCUUAAGCUAUGUUUUGCAAAUAUAAUGUGUUGAUUUACUCCAGUUGGAUUCC